GAUGAACGCUGGCGGUAUGCCUUACACAUGCAAGUCGUACGAGAGUUUUUAACUCAAGUGGCGGACGGGUGAGUAACACGUAAGAAUUUGCCUUUAGGAGGGGGACAACAACUGGAAACGGUUGCUAAUACCCCAUAUGCUUUCGAGUGAAACGGAUUUAUCCGCCUAAAGAGAAGCUUGCGGCUGAUUAGCUUGUUGGUGAGGUAAUGGCUCACCAAGGCGACGAUCAGUAUCUGGUUUGAGAGGACGAUCAGACACACUGGAACUGAGACACGGUCCAGACUCCUACGGGAGGCAGCAGUGGGGAAUUUUCCGCAAUGGGCGAAAGCCUGACGGAGCAAUACCGCGUGAGGGAUGACGGCCUAUGGGUUGUAAACCUCUUUUUUCAGGGAGGAAUAAAAUGACGUGUACCUGAAGAAUAAGCAUCGGCUAACUCCGUG
rnacentral:rRNA from 1 species